CUUUUCAUUUUUGAUUUUUUUUUUCCUUUUGUGUUCCAAUUGAAUGAGUUUAGUGUAUGCUCUUGGCUUGACAAUUUUAUCGGCAUGGGUGGUAUUCUUGGAGAAAUCUGUUUGAAUGGGGUACAUCAAAUGUGAAAACUUUGCUCUGGUAGAUUAAUGUGUAGGAGAUCAUGGAAGGAAGUCUGUGAUGGAACUGCAAACACUAGGGCAUUUUGGUUUUUGAAGCUUGUCGGCACUUCUAAUCAUAGCAGUUGCUAAAAUCUUGUCUUUGGAUUGUUAUGGCGGCGAAUAUAUGGUGCCUGGCACCUUUUGAUGGUCGAUGUCCAGGUGGUGUUUCCGCGAUUCUGGGGAGGAGGAGUUUAACAGUGGACUGGUCUGGCAGAUGUAGCUCAUUCAACAUUUGGAAUGAAAGGAAUGGUUUUUAUGUUUCUGGUCAAAGGGCUGUUUCAUGUUCUCGUGUUAGAUGUUCAGCAAAGUCAAAUUCCCAUAGCAUUGGUUCAUACCACAAUAAAGAUCCCUUCUUGCAUCUGCACCCUGAAGUUUCCAUGCUCCGAGGAGAGGCGACUGACAUGAUCAUGGAUUCGAAGAAGGACAAGUUGGGCAGCAAUGUCACUGAAAGCUUGAGGGAAUCUUCUUUGCCCGAUAAUUAUAAUGAGGCCAAGAUAAAGGUUAUUGGUGUAGGUGGUGGGGGAUCCAAUGCUGUUAAUAGAAUGAUUGAGAGUUCCAUGAAAGGUGUGGAGUUCUGGAUUGUCAAUACAGAUGUUCAAGCCAUGAGGAUGUCCCCUGUAUAUCCUGAAAAUCGCCUGCAAAUUGGUCAGGAGCUGACGAGAGGUCUUGGCGCCGGUGGGAACCCAGAUAUUGGGAUGAAUGCUGCCAGGGAGAGCAAAGAGUCGAUAGAGGAGGCAGUUUCCGGUGCUGACAUGGUCUUUGUAACGGCUGGAAUGGGUGGGGGCACUGGAACUGGUGGUGCUCCUGUAAUUGCAGGGAUUGCAAAGUCAAUGGGUAUCUUGACAGUAGGUAUCGUGACAACUCCAUUUUCAUUUGAAGGGCGGAAACGAGCAGUUCAGGCACAGGAAGGAAUUGCAGCUUUGAGGAACAAUGUUGAUACCCUUAUUGUCAUCCCAAAUGACAAGUUGUUGACUGCUGUUUCACCAAAUACUCCUGUGACAGAAGCAUUUAACUUGGCUGAUGAUAUUCUUCGACAAGGUGUUCGUGGCAUUUCUGAUAUAAUCAUGGUUCCUGGUUUGGUCAAUGUCGAUUUUGCUGAUGUUCGAGCAAUUAUGGCUGAUGCAGGUUCAUCUCUGAUGGGUAUAGGAACCGCUACAGGUAAAACAAGGGCAAGGGAUGCUGCAUUAAAUGCCAUUCAGUCACCUUUACUAGAUAUUGGUAUUGAGAGGGCUACAGGAAUUGUAUGGAAUAUUACUGGAGGAAAUGAUCUGACACUGUAUGAGGUGAAUGCUGCGGCAGAAGUGAUUUAUGACCUUGUUGAUCCAGGUGCAAAUUUAAUAUUUGGAGCUGUUAUUGACCAGUCACUCAGUGGUCAAGUUAGCAUAACUUUAAUUGCUACUGGAUUCAAACGCCAGGAGGAGACUGAAGGCCGGUCUUUCCAGGGAGCCCACCUGGGUGGAGAUAACCUUAUUGGCAUAAACAGACGUCCUUCAUCUUCUCUUUCUGAAGGGAGUAUGGUGGAGAUCCCUGAGUUCCUAAGAAAGAAGGGGCGUUCACGUUAUCCAAAAGCUUGACAGGUUCAUGCUUGCAAUAUAUGUAUAUAUAUAUAUCUAUAUUAUUUUCACUUUAUGCUUUUUCUGGCUUCAUAUGUCCCCCCCUCAUGGACGCUCAGAAGUUAUUGUACCUUCAUUAGCUGCACUUGCUCCUAUAUAUUGGAUAGAUGGAUGGUGAUGAUUAUGUGCUCUGUUUCUAAAGACUAUGAGACAACCUUCAGGGGCUCUGUAAAUGGUGUUUUCUUAAUCUUUGUUUUACAUGGAAGUUAAUGAGAGACAAAGCGCAUGUUUAAAGCAUGAUCUUCAUAUACUUAUUUGAGACCAUGCUAAGUAACACGAUGCAUCCACAAGAGGUUCCGCAAUUCUACGUAAUUAGAAACAGACUUUUUGAAUAACUUCUUGGUGGAAAGAAGAAGAAAAAGCUGCAAAAAGAGCAAGAGUAAUGGUUUCCAUCAAAUAUGUGCUGAUUGUGCUGGAUUUCUUGGCACUUGUGCAGAUCAAACCAUUUCUAAUCUCAGUGAAAGGUUAAAUGCUUAUCUACUUUGAUGAAAAAGACGUUAGGAGCUAAGUUAGAUUGGUAUUCUCUGUUGAAUUUUGAAUUGUGGAUUGUUAAAACUAUUGGCAUACACUGCUCUUAGUGCUCUGAUUAUAUGCAUAUCUGUUAUUAAAUUAGAAGGUUCGGUAUGAGCCGCUUCUAGUU